GUGAGCGUUUUGUGAGUUUGUGGCAUAGUAUGUGAGCGGCCCCACCGUGGAGGAGGAUUGUGGGUGAGCCGGGACCAGUGAGUGAGAGAGGAUGUUGGGCUGUUGUGGCGGCAACGUUUAAAUCUGAAUAUUCGUGGCAUCAGUGUCUUCACGACUCCCAGGAAGAGUCUUUGGUCAGACGGGGUGUUGACCCUAAAUUCACCAGAGUGUGUGGAGUGCAGUGGGUGAGUCUUUGUCCUUUGCUGUGAGUGUAUACACUUGAAAAGUGCUGUGCUGUGUCGUCAACAACCACCUUUCCGGCCCGACGAAAUCCUGUGAAGGAAAGUGAGUACCGAGGCGGGCGAAGAAAACAUCUCCAAUUAUAUGCCGUCGAUGACAUCCUGACCCUUCUUCCCCACGGGACGGUGGUGGGAAACAAUUUCAAGUAAGAACAGUGUGGAUCUCCUGGGAAGUAUUAAUGGUGAGGAGUUGGCUGCUGUAGGAGGAAAUCAGCUGUGCGUGUAUUACCUGCUGUGGAGUUCUUCAAAGGUUCGCCCCUGUCUAGAUCUCUUGACUUGUCGGUUGGUAGAAAGAAGAGGGAAGCGUUCGACCCAUCCAGUAUAGUACACCCCGGGUGAAACAACUUACCUGUGUGUGACGCCAGCGGAGGCCGUGUUCGGCCCAACGCAACAGUUUUCGAUUCGCCUCUCUAUCAGCAGUUGGUAGAAGCCUCAGAAAAGGAACGUCUGGCGUCUCUUCCCUCGAAGAUCUAGCGGGUCCCUUUGAAGCGUCUACCUGCAUGUCGACUCGUCACUCAGGAUACAGAGACCGCGGAAACCCCCUCCCGUACACUUACCAGUACGGUUUUAGUUGGAUCCCGGCAGCCCUUGUGCAGUUCCACCAGCAUCUGGACGAUCGGGAGUACAACCCGCUGGGCCGCCUCGGAGUUCGUCAAAAGUAGCAGCAGGUAUUCAUUGUGCAUCCAAACUCUCAAUACUUACCACUUGUAUCUGUUACGUCCAGGAAAGGAGAGGGCCCUGGACAGUCGUCCUGCAAGCCAGAACAAAGGGGCACUUGUGAAUAAGCUGAUUGUCGUCACAUAGCCAGAAGGAAAGAGGAGUGAAGGACUCACCUGAGAUCUCCCGUGACGGAGUCUAAGAGACUCGAGACUGUUACUCUCCAAAAGGAGGGUUGGAUUUUAGCCUCCCUUCCCCAUACCCUUUUUUUUGUAAUUUAAUAAAGUCUGUUUUAAAAUU